GCCUCAGUGGCGGAACUGGUAGACGCGGCAGACUCAAAAUCUGUUGUUGGCAACAACGUGGGGGUUCGAGUCCCUCCUGAGGCACCA
rnacentral:tRNA from 1 species